GAUGAACGCUGGCGGCGUGCCUAAUACAUGCAAGUCGAACGAACGGACGAGAAGUUUGCUUCUCUGUUGUUAGCGGCGGACGGGUGAGUAACACGUGGAUAACCUACCUAUAAGACUGGGAUAACUUCGGGAAACCGGAGCUAAUACCGGAGGAUAUUUUGAACCGCAUGGUGCAAAAGUGAAAGACGGUCUUGCUGUCACUUAUAGAUGGAUCCGCGCUUCAUUAGCUAGUUGGUAAGGUAACGGCUUACCAAGGCAACGAUGCAUAGCCGACCUGAGAGGGUGAUCGGCCACACUGGAACUGAGACGCGGUCCAGACUCCUACGGGAGGCAGCAGUAGGGAAUCUUCCGCAAUGGGCGAAAGCCUGACGGAGCAACGCCGCGUGAGUGAUGAAGGUCUUCGGAUCGUAAAACUCUGUUAUUAGGGAAGAACAUAUGUGUAAGUAACUGUGCACAUCUUGACGGUACCUAAUCAGAAAGCCACGGCUAACUACGUG
rnacentral:rRNA from 1 species